ACGACAACAACAAAGCACAUAUCAAAACGACACAACAACCACAAAGAUAAUUGGAUAAUCAAAAUAAUAAAAAAGUGAUCUUUGCGGAUCAUCACAUCAACAACUUAAUUUUGCAUGACUUAGAAUCACUAUAUCAUCAUAGCAACAAUAGUCUCACAGUCAUGACACAAUUUUGCAAAAGUGAUAAUGCAAUCAUUAUGAAAGAACCCCACAUUGUUUGCUCUAAACAAAACUUCAAAGUGUCUUUCUUCUGAAUCAUUUCAGCUUAGCACUCUCUUCCGCUCUAGUAAAUGCAUCAGUGAGCACAUCAACGGCCCAAUCCUUGGCAUCCUCCUGCAAGGCAGAGAUGUCAAGAUAAGACUUAGCAUCAAUGUCUAAAGCGCAAGGUAGGUCCAACCUUAGAAACUUAUGCAGGCUGUAACUCUACUGAGUUAGACAAGGACACGUGUAAGAUCAACGCAAUAGAAAAGAGACGACUUUGGUCACAUGUUCAGGUUCUAUACUUAACUUAUGACAUCAUUACUUACAAUUAACAGAGGUAAUAUGUUCCCCAUCCUGGUGCUCUUUUCAAGGGCUUUACUUAUUUCCUGAUCUAACUAUCUUAAACAAUCGAAAAACAGACUAUUGAUCAGAAGUAAUGCAUGUCUGUGUUUUUUGAAUAAGCCAGUUUUGAACUCAGUGGCUGCGAGGUCAUGUUCCAAGCUUAAUAAUAAUAACACAUUUGUAUACAUACAUAUUUCAAGAUGGGUAAGAAUGUUUCGACACUGAUCACUAGCACUAGCUCAGGUAGAGAAGACUAUUUCGAGGAUUUAGAUCCUUGAAUCUGUCAGUUUAAAAUUGCAAGUGUUGUUUCUCUAGUGCUCCACUAUGCUAGGCCUCGUGUACAGGACCCGUUUGGAAGCACGAGGAACACAUGUUCCAAAUCGGAGUGGCAUUCAUCCUCCAAAGUCACUUUAGAAAUUUCUACCCUCAAACAUAUGUUUGUCGUCUGAAUUUCAACUGGUACCACCUAUCAAAUUCAGCUACUCAUGGGUUAUACACAACGACACUUUUACAACAGCAACAAAGCUAGCACGCCAAACAAGGACCCUCUUGGACGCGACUGCGAAACCAAACAAGAAGAUGAGCAACUGCAGUUUCCAGGCUUAGAGAAAAUGUUUGUAACAUAAAAAAUUGCACCACAACAACAUUAGAAAAAUGUUUGUGAUCGGUUUUAAGUCCAAAUGAGAAAUCACAGAAUGGGAUAGAAAAGAGUGAGAUCUGCUGGGAGGGGAGGAAAUGCAUGUUCACACCAAAAUCAACCUGCGUCAUUCCUUUUAGACAUAUGAAUCAUCAUGGAGAUUAAUUGUUGUUAAGAGUUAUGAAUACAACAAAAAUGCUACCAGCGAAUCACUGGAAUGGAAACAACCAAGAAAUAAGAUGAAAAGGACCAUCUCAUCAUCAUCUUCCUCUCUUCUCUUCCUAAUAUGAUCUAGACCCCGUGACUUCAUUUCAAAACUAAUACCGAAGCAAUCAAGAAACAAUGACAAGAAUUGGAAAGCUAACAAGAAUUAGAGAGCUAACAAGCCUAGUAAAUACAAGGCAUACCAAACUUUGGCGUCUUAACGGGAUCCCACGAAGGUGGCGGCUCGUCCACUCCCACUAUAAACCAAGGCUCGGGUAUCUAUAAAAAAACAAAACAGUUGGUCUAAGGUUUAGAUAAUCCAAGUACAACUAUCCAAGGACGGCUACAAAUUGAGGAAUGUUAAUUCAGAAUAAAACAGAACAUCUCUACAUUUUCCUUCCUUUUAUUUGAUGACAGAACAUCAUUAUCAAAUUGCACAGAACAUCUCUACAUUUUCCUUCCUAAGAGUCCAACUAAAUUGCUGUGUUGCAGCUUGGCUAUUAACAACAACAUCUUGUCCAUGGGACUAAAUUUGCAUCACUAGUUGCUUGUCUAUUAACAUCAACAUAAUUGAGAAAGCAUGUGUCGACAUGUAAAUAUAUAGCAUCUUCUCUGACUAAAAGAAAGAGGGUGACCCUGGCAGCACAGGUCUCAACCUGGCUUUGGUUUUUAUUCGAUGUAUGUAUUUGGAGAAAUCAUCACCUACAAACACAAGUACUAGAGCCACCUUGCACCCAUUCUACAAUAAUCAAAGAAAGAGGAUGAGCAUGGCAGUACAGACUUGAGUCAUUUUGCACCGUAAUGCAUGUGAACUUGUCCUCCUCCCGCAACUCCAACAUUUUUUAAAAAGUUGUUGCUCGUAUUACCAUGGCUAACAAGUGGAGGAUCUUGUAACCCAUGCUUCGGUAUGUACACCCAGCUUUAACUUCGACGCGUUCAAAACAAACCUGCUUCAGCUUCCCACACACAUUCC
rnacentral:lncRNA from 1 species